rnacentral:rRNA from 1 species
UGUCUGGUGCCAGCAGCCGCGGUAAUUCCAGCUCCAAUAGCGUAUAUUAAAAUUGUUGCAGUUAAAAAGCUCGUAGUUGGAUUUCUGGUUCGGCGUACUUGGCCCGCUCCGGUUUACGGGGUUGUGUGCCGGUGUGCGCCAUCCAUCCUUCGAGAAAUCAUUUCUGCCCUUCACUGGGUUGGAAGUGGAAUCUCGAUCUUUUACUUUGAAAAAAUUAGAGUGUUUAAAGCAGGCUUGCGGCUAUGAAUACAUUAGCAUGGAAUAAUAAUUUAGGACUUUUGUCUUAUUUUGUUGGUUUCUAGGACUUAAGUAAUGAUUGAUAGGGACAGUUGGGGGUGCUAGUAUUCAGCGGCCAGAGGAAAAAUUCUUGGAUUCGCUGAAGACUAACUUAUGCGAAAGCAUUCACCAAGGAUGUCUUCUUUAAUCAAGAACGAAAGUUGGGGGAUCGAAGACGAUCAGAUACCGUCGUAGUCUCAACCAUAAACUAUGCCGACUAGGGAUGAGUGAACGUUGCUUAUUCGACUUCAUUCGCACCUUAUGAGAAAUCAAAGUCUUUGGGUUCCGGGGGGAGUAUGGUCGCAAGGCUGAAACUUAAAGGAAUUGACGGAAGGGCACCACCAGGAGUGGAGCCUGCGGCUUAAUUUGACCCAACACGGGAAAACUUACCAGGUCCAGACAUAAUAAGGAUUGACAGAUUGAAGAUCUUUCUUGAUUUUAUGGGUGGUGGUGCAUGGCCGUUCUUAGUUGGUGGAGUGAUUUGUCUGGUUAAUUCCGUUAACGAACGAGACCUCGACCUGCUAAAUAGUUCUGCGAAUCCUAGGAUUUGUACGUAACUUCUUAGAGGGACUAUCGGUGAUUUAGCCGAUGGAAGUUCGAGGCAAUAACAGGUCUGUGAUGCCCUUAGAUGUCCUGGGCCGCACGCGCGCUACACUGAUACGUUCAUCGAGCUUACAACCUUGGUUGAGAGGCCUGGGUAAUCUUUUGAAACCGUAUCGUGCUGGGGAUAGAUCAUUGUAAUUAUUGAUCUUCAACGAGGAAUUCCUAGUAAACGCGAGUCAUCAACUCGCAUUGAUUACGUCCCUGCCCUUUGUACACACCGCCCGUCGCUACUACCGAUUGAAUGGCUUAGUGAGCUUCCGGGAUUGUUGUAUCUGGUUGGUUCUCCAUCCUGGUACUUCCGAGAACGGAAUCAAACUUGAUCAUUUAGAGGAAGUAAAAGUCGUAACAAGGUAUCCGUAGGUGAACCUGCGGAUG